ACUUGAGUGGCAACCGUAGCUGGCUCCAUGCACAGCGAACUGGGAGAGUGAAGCAUUUCUUGUGGGUGAUUCAUUCUGACUAACACUGAAUUGCCUGCUCAGGUUGCCAACAGCAGGACUCAGGGGAGGAUCUGGCUUCUGGCCAGGGGCUGCAGUAUCUGGCUGGGGGGCAGGAGGCACUCAGGUGGCACCAGGAGGCACUGUAGUGAGCAGCAACCAUUGAGCCUGCUUAUGAAAAGGAAAAGGACAUGCUACACAUGGCUAUAAUACGUUCCAGGAACCUCAUUUCAAGAACUCUGAUUUGGUUGGUCUUAAUAUGCUUGAUGUUUAAUUUUUGGAGUUUUGGCCAGUUAACAAAUUCAUUUUGUGUGAGGAAAACAACUUGGUGAAGCUGUAUGCAAAUCCUGCCUGUUUG